AUUGAACGCUGGCGGCAUGCUUUACACAUGCAAGUCGAACGGCGGCGCGGGCUUCGGCCUGGCGGCGAGUGGCGAACGGGUGAGUAAUGCAUCGGAACGUGCCCAGUAGUGGGGGAUAGCCCGGCGAAAGCCGGAUUAAUACCGCAUACGACCUGAGGGUGAAAGCGGGGGACCGAAAGGCCUCGCGCUAUUGGAGCGGCCGAUGUCGGAUUAGCUAGUUGGUGGGGUAAAGGCUUACCAAGGCGACGAUCCGUAGCUGGUCUGAGAGGACGACCAGCCACACUGGGACUGAGACACGGCCCAGACUCCUACGGGAGGCAGCAGUGGGGAAUUUUGGACAAUGGGGGCAACCCUGAUCCAGCCAUGCCGCGUGCGAGAAGAAGGCCUUCGGGUUGUAAACCGCUUUUGUUCGGGAAGAAAUCCUCUGGGCUAAUACCCCGGGGGGAUGACGGUACCGGAAGAAUAAGCACCGGCUAACUACGUG
rnacentral:rRNA from 1 species